rnacentral:lncRNA from 1 species
UCCUUCACGAGCGAUGCAACAGCUUGGAGGUGCUCCUCAACGUCACCUGGUAUCUGCGCAGUUCCCGUUGCCACAACGAGAUCCACAUUGACGAAAACGAAGCGCUGUCUUACCUCAGGAACCACGAGGAUGCCACCAGCACCACAGGGGAUGGCCAGUAUGUUUGGUACAGUGGCCAGAUCAGCUGUGGCUCGCUCCAUGAGGUGGGAGAUCCGAAGUAAAGACGACUGAGUGUCAGACUGUCACGAGCAGGGAGGGGAGCUCACGUUUCCCCUGUGCUCCGAAAAGUUCUCUCUUGUUUUUGGACUCCAGUUCCUGGGAUCUCCCUGCUAGCUGGAGGAUUCUGGGAGCGACACGCCUUUCAGACAGGGAGCUGAUCCGGCUUCCGGGGUCUGGUGGCCUUACAUCGGGUUACCCCCUCGGUCCCUCUGGCCCUGGGUUCCUAACCUUGCCUAGCAGUGACGGCCUUUCUGGAUUUGAGCCAGGAUUCUUUUCCUGGACCCACCAGGAGAGGAGAUCCCAGACCCAACUGGGAUUGGGUGCGGAGGGGGGGGUGGGGGAAUCUGCCUGCUAGGCUCUUCGGUCAAGCUACACCCCCUCCCCCUCCCCAUCCCAGAAGUAGCGACCGCUCGCCCAUCCCUUUCCUUGUGGUUUUUCCUCCAAGGUUUUGGGAGGAAGGGACCUUGAGAGGCAACGGGAUGGGGGUGGGAUGGGGGUGGAGGGUGUCCUGCGGCUGCCUUGUGCAGGGAAGGGAGGUGUGUGUCCGGAAGGGUGCCCCUCAGGGGGCAAUUCCCACUUUAUUUGCAGCUCGAUCCCUCAAAAAGAGCCUGGGCAGAAGUUAAAGGAGGGCUCUGGAGUCCAAGGAGAAAGCCGGGCUUCUUUUUGACCAAGGGGAAGGAAGGCGGCUUUUGGUCAGGGAGUAGCCCUUUCAGUCGGGAGCAGGGCAUGGGGGGGGGGCUCUCCAGAUGGUUCCUGCCUAUGACCCCCACUGGCCCCAGGAGCGGGGGAGGGGGAGGGGGAUGUUCCAUGCUGCUCACUUUGGCCACUCUGGCCACCACCUUCAGCCGAUUGGUGGCUACUGGAUCAGAACCACGAGGGGGUCAGGUUGGGGGUGGGGUGGGAGGAAGGCGUGGUGAGGGAGGGGCGACUGGCACACCUGACUUGAACCACCCAUCCACCCCUCUCCGUUCCCUUCUGUUUCAGCUGCACUUUUCGGAGCUGCCCGAGCCUCGGAGGCUGCGGCCUUUACAAGAUCAGCUGACAGCCGCCAAUCUGGUGAAGAAGACGGAGGCCUCCCAGCUUCCAGGGAGUGAGAAGGGAAAGGAGACGGAACACAGCCCGGCAGCCAAAGCCGGGGAAAAGCCCGAGGAGGCCCACGUCGAGAAACCCAAGGAAGGCCAGGCAGGGCAGCCCUCUCCUGUGGCCGGCAAGAAAGCCAGCAAAGAGGCCAAGAAGAAAACCACUCUGGCACCUCACAGGCGAGAGGUGGGUGGCCGGACAGUUGGAACUGCGGUCCAGCGGCCUGAGCCAGUGGCCUUGCUCGGCCCUCGGCCUGACCCUCCGCCGAGUGUCUGAAAGGGGCUCUCGGUUCCGCUCUCGGUCUUUCCUUCUCUAGCCUGGCGAUGGAUGGAGCUCCUCCUCGCCUGACCUGGCCCGUGUUGGGUUGUUGUUUUAGCCUUCCGCCGUGGCUGCCACCUGGGACGAUGGGCCGUACGUCUUCAUCCUCGGGAUCAAGAGCCCGUCGGCCAACUGGGAGCUGCAGAGUGAGUGGAGCCGGCCGGUCCGACGUUCCACAGCAGACCCAUUGAGAGGGCUCCUGGGGACCUGGGGCCAGUCCUGGGGCUGAAGGGCCACACGGGAUAAGCGGCCUUCCCGGCAGUAUUUGCAGGCUUCCCUUCGGGUCUCUUCCUUGUGGACUAGCACCCUAGUCAUAAAAUAUAAGCCUGAGGAUCAGGAAAGGGUUGCAGCAUAAACAGAUUGAAUAAGGAACUCAUAAUGACAUCAGGAGAUUACUUUCUGCUACACCAUGGCCACCAGCAGCAGUUAAAAAACCGUUGAGAAGUUUGUUCUCUCUCUCUCUCUCUCUCUCUCUCUCUCUCUGUGUGUGUGUGUGUGUGUGUGUGUGUGUGUAAUGCUUGUUUAAGCACAAGAAGGGAAAUACAAAAAAGGUAUUCUGGGUGGGGAGAAUAAAAAUGUCUUAUCUCAAGAUGACGGCCGGCUU